AAAAAUAAACAUUUCAUCAGACAUUAAAUUGUUAGUAAUUAGUUUUCUAACUUUUUCACUUUUGAAGACCAGAGUUAUUUCCGUUCAGGGCGUUGUGUAGAUUUUUGGUGGAAACUUGUAUUAUCGGAGGGGGUUUAACACUUUAACUAUGGUUAAAUACAAGAGAGGUUAGGUUUAUGGUAUCAUAUUAGGAGGAGUUUUUACUUAAUUGUGUUCAUUUUCAACUUGGUGAUGGUUGAUUUAUUUUUGGCAUG
rnacentral:misc_RNA from 1 species